GCCUUGGUGGUCUAGUAGUAUGAUUCCUCCUUCGGGAAAACCCCUGCUUCAGAGGAGGCAUAAUUGGAGGAGGUCCUGGGUUCAAUUCCCAGCCAGGGCC